GUCCGCAUGGUGCAGUGGUCUGAGCAUGGGAUCACGACUCUAGAGAUCAGGGUUCAAUUCCCAGCUUGGCCA